rnacentral:rRNA from 1 species
GACGAACGCUGGCGGCGUGCUUAACACAUGCAAGUCGAACGAGACGAUUUAGAAGCUUGCUUUUAUUGAGUCGAGUGGCAAACGGGUGAGUAACGCGUAAGCAACCUGCCCUUCAGAUGGGGACAACAGCUGGAAACGGCUGCUAAUACCGAAUACGUUCUUUUUGUCGCAUGGCAGAGGGGAAGAAAGGGAGGCUCUUCGGAGCUUUCGCUGAAGGAGGGGCUUGCGUCUGAUUAGCUAGUUGGAGGGGUAACGGCCCACCAAGGCGACGAUCAGUAGCCGGUCUGAGAGGAUGAACGGCCACAUUGGGACUGAGACACGGCCCAGACUCCUACGGGAGGCAGCAGUGGGGAAUCUUCCGCAAUGGACGAAAGUCUGACGGAGCAACGCCGCGUGAACGAUGACGGCCUCGGUUGU